rnacentral:rRNA from 1 species
AUGAACGCUGGCGGCGUGCCUAAUACAUGCAAGUCGAGCGAACAGACGAGGAGCUUGCUCCUCUGACGUUAGCGGCGGACGGGUGAGUAACACGUGGAUAACCUACCUAUAAGACUGGGAUAACUUCGGGCAACCGGAGCUAAUACCGGAUAAUAUAUUGAACCGCAUGGUUCAAUAGUGAAAGACGGUUUUGCUGUCACUUAUAGAUGGAUCCGCGCCGCAUUAGCUAGUUGGUAAGGUAACGGCUUACCAAGGCAACGAUGCGUAGCCGACCUGAGAGGGUGAUCGGCCACACUGGAACUGAGACACGGUCCAGACUCCUACGGGAGGCAGCAGUAGGGAAUCUUCCGCAAUGGGCGAAAGCUUGACGGAGCAACGCCGCGUGAGUGAUGAAGGUCUUCGGAUCGUAAAACUCUGUUAUUAGGGAAGAACAAAUGUGUAAGUAACUAUGCACGUCUUGACGGUACCUAAUCAGAAAGCCACGGCUAACUACGUG